UGCACGGCUGGAUUAGUGGCGAACGGGUGAGUAACACGUGAGUAACCUGCCCUUCACUCUGGGAUAACCUCGGGAAAUCGGGGCUAAUACCGGAUACGAGUGCCCACCGCAUGGUGGAUGCUGGAAAGUUUUUCGGUGAAGGAUGGACUCGCGGCCUAUCAGUUUGUUGGUGAGGUAAUGGCUCACCAAGACGAUGACGGGUAGCCGGCCUGAGAGGGCGACCGGCCACACUGGGACUGAGACACGGCCCAGACUCCUACGGGAGGCAGCAGUGGGGAAUAUUGCACAAUGGGCGAAAGCCUGAUGCAGCGACGCCGCGUGAGGGAUGACGGCCUUCGGGUUGUAAACCUCUUUCAGUAGGGAAGAAGCGAAAGUGACGGUACCUGCAGAAGAAGCGCCGGCUAACUACGUGCCAGCAGCCGCGGUAAUACGUAGGGCGCAAGCGUUGUCCGGAAUUAUUGGGCGUAAAGAGCUUGUAGGUGGCUUGUCGCGUCUGCCGUGAAAAUCCAGGGCUUAACCCUGGACGUGCGGUGGGUACGGGCAGGCUAGAGUGUGGUAGGGGAGACUGGAACUCCUGGUGUAGCGGUGAAAUGCGCAGAUAUCAGGAAGAACACCGAUGGCGAAGGCAGGUCUCUGGGCCAUUACUGACACUGAGAAGCGAAAGCAUGGGGAGCGAACAGGAUUAGAUACCCUGGUAGUCCAUGCCGUAAACGUUGGG
rnacentral:rRNA from 1 species